AGUAAAUGACAUUUUCUCCAUGACCUGUGAAUUAUCUUGCACUUUUGACAAAGGUAGAUUUUGAUUGCUUCUGGAAUCUGAACCAACCCCACAGACAUUUCUUCAGUGGCUGUGUGACUGUAUUCCAUUCUAGAAUCUAAGUAUUCUUUAGUAGCCAGCUUUCUACUACCAAAUCGAGUUCACAAUUCCAAGCAAGCUUCCAAUUUUCACAUUCAUUUUUUUAGUAUGAGGGUUUACUCAUCAGAUGGCAACAGAACAGCUUAAUAUCAAUAUUAGUCAUAAAUUAUUGAAUGAAUGCUCAGAGAUGGAUGUUAAAGUAACUGGAAAGAUGUGCUUUAAGACUUUUUAAGUGCCACCUUUUUUCUUUUACUUUCAGAAGACAGAAUAAGACCGAUGUAGUCGCCUUCCACAUGGCACUGCAGAGUCCCAAGACCAUGGUCCUCCUGAAUAGGAUAACUAAGGAAAAGACAAACUGAGGCUGUAUCCCAGACCAAGGCUGAGAUGGGAUCACCUAGCAAAAUAUGGCACAUUCCCAAGGAUGUAGUAGGAGUUUCUACCCCCCACAAGAAGAGUAGUUUUCUUGUAAGGGCAAAAUCAGACAGAUGGAGUAGAACAGAAGAGGAUGCCCCCAACCCAUCCAGAGUGAAGGAAAAAUUAGACACCAUGUAUGGAAUCUAUGCAGCUGAGUAUAUAUGUGGAUGAUUUAAUAGUAACACUUUCCACCACGUCUCCAGUGAAGAAAGUCAUGUUGACAUCCUAAUCAUUCCCAGAAAACAUUAAAAGCUCUAUGGCUUUUAAUACCUGUGUCCAUGUUUUCCUCUGACCCCACUAAUACAAUUUUUAAAGCACAAAUGGAUAACAACCAAAUAAGAAAGUUAUAAUGGGCUUUUGGGUUUACACAUCAU
rnacentral:lncRNA from 1 species